rnacentral:rRNA from 1 species
GUGGGGAAUAUUGGACAAUGGGCGAAAGCCUGAUCCAGCCAUGUCGCGUGUGUGAAGAAGGUCUUCGGAUUGUAAAGCACUUUAAGUUGGGAGGAAGGGCAGUAAGUUAAUACCUUGCUGUUUUGACGUUACCAACAGAAUAAGCACCGGCUAACUUCGUGCCAGCAGCCGCGGUAAUACGAAGGGUGCAAGCGUUAAUCGGAAUUACUGGGCGUAAAGCGCGGGUAGGUGGUUUUGUAAGUUGGAGGUGAAAUCCCCGGGCUCAACCUGGGAACUGCCUCCAAAACUGCAUGACUAGAGUACGGUAGAGGGUAGUGGAAUUUCCUGUGUAGCGGUGAAAUGCGUAGAUAUAGGAAGGAACACCAGUGGCGAAGGCGACUACCUGGACUGAUACUGACACUGAGGUGCGAAAGCGUGGGGAGCAAACAGGAUUAGAUACCCGGGUAGUCC